CAGGAGUCUUCGCCGUUAUUGGGUUCACCCCAUAAAUCAGCUGCGUGACGACCGUGGUCAUGUUGGUCAUCUUUAUGCUGAGCUCAGACGUUAUUCGGAUAAAUUCUAUAACUUUGUCCGCAUGCCAAUGGAGGCAUUUGAUUAACUUUUGGCCAUUGUUGGACUCCCAUCUUCAGCGUUCCCACACACAAUUGCGCAAAGCAAUCACACCAAUGGAGCGUCUGUUGAUCACCUUGAGAUUUCUGGCGACUGGGGAGAGUUAAGCCUCGUUACAUUUGCAAUUCCGUGUUGGCGAAUCAACCAUCAGCGGUAUUGUGAAGGAAACAUGCACCAUGAUUUGGCAGUACAUGCAGCCAAUUUCGUUGCCCAGUCCAAACCAGGAGAGAUGGCUUCAGGCAACAUCAGGAUUUCAGUCUGUUGCCCACUUUCCCAACUGCAUAGGCGCUGUCGA